rnacentral:rRNA from 1 species
CGAACGGGUGAGUAACACGUGGGCAACCUGCCCAAAAGAGGGGGAUAACACUUGGAAACAGGUGCUAAUACCGCAUAACCAUAGUUACCGCAUGGUAACUAUGUAAAAGGUGGCUAUACUACCGCUUUUGGAUGGGCCCGCGGCGCAUUAGCUAGUUGGUAGGGUAAAGGCUUACCAAGGCAAUGAUGCGUAGCCGAAUUGAGAGGUUGAUCGGCCACAUUGGGACUGAGACACGGCCCAAACUCCUACGGGAGGCAGCAG